UUAUUGGGCGUAAGAGCUCGUAGGCGGUUUGUCGCGUCUGCUGUGAAAUCCCGAGGCUCAACCUCGGGUCUGCAGUGGGUACGGGCAGACUAGAGUGCGGUAGGGGAGAUUGGAAUUCCUGGUGUAGCGGUGGAAUGCGCAGAUAUCAGGAGGAACACCGAUGGCGAAGGCAGAUCUCUGGGCCGUUACUGACGCUGAGGAGCGAAAGGGUGGGGAGCAAACAGGCUUAGAUACCCUGGUAGUCCACCCCGUAAACGUUGGGAACUAGUUGUGGGGUCCAUUCCACGGAUUCCGUGACGCAGCUAACGCAUUAAGUUCCCCGCCUGGGGAGUACGGCCGCAAGGCUAAAACUCAAAGGAAUUGACGGGGACCCGCACAAGCGGCGGAGCAUGCGGAUUAAUUCGAUGCAACGCGAAGAACCUUACCAAGGCUUGACAUAUACGAGAACGGGCCAGAAAUGGUCAACUCUUUGGACACUCGUAAACAGGUGGUGCAUGGUUGUCGUCAGCUCGUGUCGUGAGAUGUUGGGUUAAGUCCCGCAACGAGCGCAACCCUCGUUCUAUGUUGCCAGCACGUAAUGGUGGGAACUCAUGGGAUACUGCCGGGGUCAACUCGGAGGAAGGUGGGGAUGACGUCAAAUCAUCAUGCCCCUUAUGUCUUGGGCUUCACGCAUGCUACAAUGGCCGGUACAAAGGGCUGCAAUACCGCGAGGUGGAGCGAAUCCCAAAAAGCCGGUCCCAGUUCGGAUUGAGGUCUGCAACUCGACCUCAUGAAGUCGGAGUCGCUAGUAAUCGCAGAUCAGCAACGCUGCGGUGAAUACGUUCCCGGGUCUUGUACACACCGCCCGUCAAGUCAUGAAAGUCGGUAACACCUGAAGCCGGUGGCCCAACCCUUGUGGAGGGAGCCAUCGAUGUGGAUCGGUAAUUAGGACGAAGUCGU
rnacentral:rRNA from 2 species